UUGAAAGGGAAACGAUUGAAGUCAGUCGUACCGACGAGAAAUCAGCUUAUCGUGUGUUAACUUGUGGGCGUGCGUGAGUUUCGGCCUCGCUGUUUGCAUGUUUGUGCGCUUUGGGUGUACUUUUUCGUAUGGUUGGCCAACAUCAGUUUCGAUUACUAUAAAAUGACUGGCGGAAUGUAGCUUCGAUUUCGGUUGAAGUGUUAUAGCCUCUGGUAGAUGUGGUAAUUGGGACUGAGGAUUGCAACGAAUAUCCUUUGGGCUAUCCGUCUGGCCUCUGAAAGUUGCUUGGGUGCUGAAAGCUUGCUUAUGGUUAUCUAAGUUAACGGUCAAUAGGUUAGAACGUGAUUACAUUCGUUAAGGAUGUUGACGUA
rnacentral:rRNA from 1 species